GACGAACGCUGGCGGCGUGCUUAACACAUGCAAGUCGAACGGAAAGGCCCCUUUGGGGGUACUCGAGUGGCGAACGGGUGAGUAACACGUGAGUAACCUGCCCUUGACUUCGGGAUAACUUCAGGAAACUGGGGCUAAUACCGGAUAGGAAUCCUUGCUGCAUGGUGGGGGUUGGACAGCUUCGGCGGUUUUGGAUGGACUCGCGGCUUAUCAGCUUGUUGGUGGGGUAGUGGCUUACCAAGGCUUUGACGGGUAGCCGGCCUGAGAGGGCGACCGGCCACAUUGAGACUGAGAUACGGCCCAGACUCCGACGGGAGGCAGCAGUGGGGAAUAUUGCACAAGGGGCGGAAGCCGGAUGCAGCAACGCCGCGUGCGGGAUGACGGCCUUCGGGUUGUAAACCGCUUUCAGCAGGGGCGAAGCUUGUGGUGACGGUACCUGCAGAAGAAGCACCGGCUAACUACGUG
rnacentral:rRNA from 1 species